GGAAGCUAUUACCAUAAUUUAAACUGUCCAAGACUAAAAUAAAUUAACAAAUUAAUUAAUACAAAAUACAAAAUCAUUUUUAUUAGAUAAUAAAAUAAAAAGACUUGACAGUAAUUUAUCCAGAUUUAGAAGAAAAAAAUAUUUAAAUCCAAAUUUGCUACGCUUAUAGAGUACUUAAAAAGAAUAAAAAAAGUAACAUUUUAAUGUUUCCGAUUCUUAAUUUCCUUUCCUGUCCUGCAAAUUUACAACCUACCACUAUGGACAACGAAUUUUCAACGAAACGUCUCGUUAACCGUCAAAACUCCGGAUACCACGAAACGUUUCUAUACUAGUUAUUUUUUUCCAUUUUUUUAAUACCAUUUUUUUCUACAAGGCAGAAAGCGACUCGGCCUGCCACUGCACACCCGCUGUAUCACCGGCAGAUGAAUAGUUCUCGUCCGAGUGGUUAAACAAUCCACCUAACGCCACAAAAUCUCCG
rnacentral:misc_RNA from 1 species